CUCCUGGCAACCGCUGGUCUGCUCUUCAUCGCCCUAGCUUUGUCUUUCAAGAAUGCUGUGUAAAUGGAAUCAUACAACACAUAACCUUUUGAGACUGGCUUCUUUCACUCAGUUGUUCCAUGUAUCAGUGGUGUCUGUCCGAAUUCUUGGGGAAGCUGAGGAAACCAGGGCUGUGACUGUAAUAUUCUGCUGUACCUAUGAUCUGUGCCCAUGAUGCUCUGCUGUAUCCAUGAUGCUGUGCCCAUGAUGCCAUGUCAUGCUCUCUGUACCUUGCCAUGCCUGUGACACUAUGCCCUCUCCCUGGGAUUCUGCAGUCUUCCUGGCUGCUCUAGAAGCCAGGGAGAUUCCACCCCAUGUAAAAUGCUCCUGGGGUGGCCUGCUGACCUGGAUUCUCCUCUCAACAUCUUGAGCCCAACCACCUCUGCUGUCAAACUACACAUGGCCCAGGUGACUUCUCUCACAAAUGGGAGAGGGAAUCAGAGCAUUUCAUAGUCAGAGCAGAGGCCCUGGGGAGAUGCCCAUCUGCAGCAGACUUGGGACAACUGAUCCAAUUCAAGUCCAUCAUUGUGCAGAGUGGGAUUGUGAGCCUCAGAGUGGAGAGAAGAUUCAUCCAACUGUGGGUUCGGUGCCAGCCAGAGUGGGACUCCACCCUGACUCCCAGUUCAGAGCUCAUUUUGGUGGGGGGUCCUGAAGUUCUACCAUCAUAGUUACCCCUUGCUUGGGUCUCCAAAAUGUCCCUGUUCCAAUGUAUAUCUGUUACUUAAAUAACACAUUUGCAACAUAGCUAUCAGAGGGGUUGGUUUUUAUUUAGAAAGAAGCUAAUAAGUUAUAUUUUAUUUAUUAUAAAGACAAAAUUGUAACAGCACAAAUGAAAAUAUUAUUAAUAAAAGAAAUUCUUUCUGCCACCCUAA
rnacentral:lncRNA from 1 species